rnacentral:lncRNA from 1 species
GAGCUUUAACGGGUUUUAGUUGCCUGUGGAAAUAUAUACCAAAUAUUUAGCAUUUUUACUAAGUGCUGGAGGCCCCUCCAGUGCCUUCCUCGCGGGGGCUGCUUUGUCAUUCUCUUUGACUUGCCAGCCAUCUACCUUGCUGAGGCUGGAAUAAAAGAAGAAAAAAAAAAAAAAGGAAGGAAGGAAGGAUAGAAAAAGAAAGAGGAAAGAAAGAAAAAGAAGAAAAAAAGAAGAAGGAAAGAGGAGAGAGGAAAAGGGGAAAGAAAAAUUUUAAAGGAGUCAUCUACCCACCCACUUCCCCUCCCUUCUCUUCCCAUUUUGGAGGCGGCACAGGAGCCCCUGGCGCAGAACAGCUCGGCUCCCAGGCAGACUGGGGUGGGGGGGGGCGGGCAGCGACUCUCUCUCUCAGGUACAGAACCGGUAGCUUCUGCGAAGAUGGAGGGGAAUUAGGCUUCUGGUUCCUCUGAAAUAUUGGCAAAAGGCUCCCCAAGGUUCGGCGGCGGGAGUGGGGCGGGGGAGACGGCUCUCCCCAGCCUGCACCCACCCCUUCCCACCUCGCCUCCCAAAUGACAGCCUGGUGCUGGCUCUGCGUGAUUUGGCCUUGGCUUCAGCCAAGCAGCUGAUGCAGAGGAGGCCCCGUUUGCAGGACUGACUGGCAAAGUGCACGCUGAAGAAAGAAGGAAGAAAUUUUUUAAAGCAGCUCUGGGGAGGUUUCUCGUUCCUUAAAAAAAAAAAAAAAGAAAGAAAGAAAGAAAGAAAGAAAGAAAGAAAGAAAGAAAGAAAGAAAGAAAAGAAAAGAAAAGAAAAAAAAAGAAUUAAAAAAAUUUUUAACUGAAUAUUUUCCAAAUUCGAUCAGCCCCAGCCCCUCCCUGCGCCUCCCCCAAAUUGCCUUUUUUUUUUCCCUCCCUCGUCAAAGCAUAAACUACAGAGUUACAGUCUCUAGAUUUGGUGUAACGCUUCCUGCCCCCGCCUCCCCUCCCCGCCCCGUUGUCGGUCCUCUAUUGAAACACCUCGCCCAGGCUAGCGCACUGCGAGCUCACAUUCCCCCCCUUGCUCGGAAUGGUGUUACGGGAGCCUGCAGCCCAGCUCCGCUUCCAAUGGUUGUGUCGAUGUUCCUUUCAGCUGGUCCCAUAGCCCCCCUCCUCAGGAAGGUCUCCCCAGUGAAAGAACAAAAAUGGCACUGGCCACAGCUGCACUGGUGGACGCUCAAGCCAACUAUGAAGUUGAAACAAAGGAAGCUAUCACCUGAAGACACUUCUCCUGCUAAGCAGCCCCCCUAAAUGGUGCGAUUUCAGGCAAUAGAACUCCCAGAACACCAGGCAAUCUUUUCAAGAAACAGAAAAAAACUUCAUGGUGACAUCUAGAUUUCUCAGGAGCCAAGGACUUUCCCUUCCUCGUGUGUAUUCCUCUGUUUGUAUUUUAAUUCAGUGUGACAUUCAUUUCUCAAAUAUAUCCCCAGUAUGAAUAUGCUUCUUAAUGCACCGAUUUUUAAACUAGAAAAUCGCACAAAUGUGUUCAUGUUUCAAGGAGUGAAAUUAAUGCUGUAAGUAGAUCAGUUUUUUAACCACAUGCGGUUUAAUCUGAAGAGUGACCCAAGGGAAUAUAAAGUACUUUUGAAAUAACAGGGCAAUGAGAGACAAUCCAAAGGCUAAAAGAAUGGUGGAAACUCAUAAGGCAGCCAAGAGAUACCACAUUAUCCUACCUGACACCAACCAACGAACCAUUCUUUUAAUCAAACAAGAUAGGUUCUGUAAGACAUGGUCACUGCCUCUAAAGAGUGUAAAUCUAGUUCAACAGAAAUACAUAAACUUUUGAAAGGAUAGUAACAAAUCAGGUCUGUAGAUGUCAAGAUCACAACAAAAGAUAUAAACAAAGAACUCAGAGGAGUUCACCAUCAUCUGGGCAAAACUAGUCAAUUUAGGGAAGGAAGUUCGCAAAAGAGGAAAAUACAAAAUGAAUCUUACAGAGUGUUAAAGAUUUAGGGGCACCUGGCUGGCUUAGUUGGAGCAUGUGACUCUUAAUCUCAGGGUUGUGAGUUUAAGCCCAAUGUUGGGUGUGGAGCCUAUUUUUAAAAAAGGGAUAUUAAAGAUUCAGAUAAAUGGGAAGGAAAGAGAAAAUAGAGUCCUUUAUUUUUAUUUAUUUAUUUUUUAAAUAGAGUCCUUUAAAUGAAUGGAAUAUUGUGAGCACAGCCAUGGAGGAACGAAUCUAUGUGAUGAAUUUAAGGAAUUAUGAAUAUACAUGUCUAGUUGACAUUCAGUGCAUAUAUAUAUAUAUAUAUAUAUUAAGGACUCCACACACACGCUUCCCCUCUCCCACCCUGGGUGUCAUCUAGAACUAUCAUCGUAUCUCUUUGCCAUUAAAGCAAGUGAGAAUGAUUGGUGGUAAUGUGAGAACUUAUGAUUUUUCUGUUAACUUAAUAGUAAUUGGUAUUCACUGAGUUCUUACUCUAUGUUAAGCAUUUUAUAUAGGAACCCACCUAAGCCUGCAAUUCAGAACAACCCUGCAAAAUCGGUAUUAUUAUCCCUGUUUUAAAGAUAAGGUUUAAUGAGGUCAAGUAACUUGCCAAACUACCAUAUACAUGGUUCACAUUCAGAACUGUGAUCACAAAGCUCCUGAUCUAAAAGCAGUAAAUCACAAUAUUGCGAUCAAUGUUGCAGUAUUACCACUUCAAUAUUCCUCAAUAGUUUUUUACGAUAAACAAAUAGGUCAUUCAGUUAUCCCUUCAAUCUUUUCUGUUUUCUGCUAAAAUCAUGGAAAGAAUUUUCAUGAUAGAAAAUUGAAAGAAUUGGGUAAUAGAGUUUAUCAGCAUUUUAGUUUUUUUUUGUUGUUGUUGCUGCUUUUGUUUUUUUGCCAGAUGUUGAGGAAAUUGUUCACUGUGUUCUGCAUGAAAUCUCAAAUUCUUGAGAAUUAAAAAAAGAGGGGGGCACUUAAAGGUCAUCUGUUGCAAUGUGCUUUUCUACAGAUGACAAAUCAAAGUUAGAGCGACUUACGGAAGAUCACACAUUUGAGUGUGGCUGAGCUAGGUUCAGAAACCAGGCUGUCCAGUCUCCUUUCAGAGGCUCUUGAACUACUCCACCCUGCCUAAAUGAAGGACAAAUUUGAAUUUGAUCAAAGAAAGCAUUGUUUCUGGAUGAUCAUUGCACCUAGUAGAUUGUUUCAGUUUUUCACCUCUUUGGCUUCCCACCUCAAUGUGAAAAAUAGCCCGUUAUGAACUAACAUCUUUUGAUGCAUAAACUGUCAAUAAUCCAUCCCCAGAGAACACAUAAUGGCUCAGGUUAUGUGUAUAAUGUCUUCAAUGACAUUCUUAAGUUAUUUGAAAUUCUUAGCUCACCUAAACAAAUCGGAUCUUCUAAUGAGCCUUUUCUUACCCAAUUUUAUGCACAGUAUGUAUUUGUAAGUGCUUCUGCAUGAAUAUUUAUACAUGACUGUUUCAAUAGUCCUUAUGUUUUUGAAAAUAUCAAUGGUUAUUUGCUAUUUUAAUCCUCACUUAUCCAUGUAACGAACUCAAGAAUACUUCAGCCCUAAAAAGCUAGAAUUGAGGAAAUCUCACUCUUCUUUACCAGCUCCUUUGCAUUUAGUUGGCAUUUAGUAAUGAUUAAUAAAGUGGUCAGCUGGAUAACA